rnacentral:tRNA from 1 species
GACGACAUAGGCGAGGAACGCCCGCAAGCGCUCGGAGCGCGCGAAAGCCUUGCUUUCGAGGAUGCGACGGAGCGUCCGCCGUAUCGUCUC